GAUGAACGCUGGCGGCGUGCCUAAUACAUGCAAGUCGAGCGAACAGACGAGGAGCUUGCUCCUCUGACGUUAGCGGCGGACGGGUGAGUAACACGUGGAUAACCUACCUAUAAGACUGGGAUAACUUCGGGAAACCGGAGCUAAUACCGGAUAAUAUAUUGAACCGCAUGGUUCAAUAGUGAAAGACGGUUUUGCUGUCACUUAUAGAUGGAUCCGCGCCGCAUUAGCUAGUUGGUAAGGUAACGGCUUACCAAGGCAACGAUGCGUAGCCGACCUGAGAGGGUGAUCGGCCACACUGGAACUGAUACACGGUCCAGACUCCUACGGGAGGCAGCAGUAGGGAAUCUUCCGCAAUGGGCGAAGGCCUGACGGAGCAACGCCGCGUGAGUGAUGAAGGUCUUCGGAUCGUAAAACUCUGUUAUUAGGGAAGAACAAAUGUGUAAGUAACUAUGCACGUCUUGACGGUACCUAAUCAGAAAGCCACGGCUAACUACGUG
rnacentral:rRNA from 1 species